UGCGCACUGGGAGCAGUGGGCGGGGCCUAGAUUCCGAGGCCCAGAAGGCGGGGAUGGUGCCUUGGUGAGCGUGCUAGUCCGAGCCCUGGGGAUUCGUCCCGUCGUGCUCUCUAUUCAGUCAGCCGUUAUGUCCUUUCCGUGACCUCCUCCAGCAGGGUUUUAGUCAGAGUCAUCCACCCUAUGACUAAAUCAUGAAGAACGUCACAGAAUUAAGACAGCUAAAAUCAGGAAAGCAGAUGUGGAGGCAUUAGAAAGAAGAUAGAGGUGGACCCUUCAUUAUGUUUGUUGUCAGGAACAUUGCUGCAGCUUGGACAAACCGCUUUACCUGACCCACUGUUGGUCCACCACUGGAAAGGAUGCAUAUGAAGGUGUACAGAGACCAGCAGAUUUGAGGAGUAGUGAUCAAGACCAUCCCCAUGGAAAAUAAAUGCAAAAAAGCAAAAUGGCUGUCUGGGGAGGCCUUACAAAUAGCUGUGAAAAGAAGAAAAGUGAAAAGCAAAGG